rnacentral:rRNA from 1 species
UACGAACCGAGCGAACGUUGUUCGGAAUCACUGGGCUUAAAGGGCGCGUAGGCGGGCCGCCAAGUCCGUGGUGAAAUCCCCCGGCUCAACCGGGGAAGUGCCUCGGAUACUGGCGGCCUCGAGGGGGGUAGGGGCGUGCGGAACUUCCGGUGGAGCGGUGAAAUGCGUAGAUAUCGGAAGGAACACCGGUGGCGAAAGCGGCGCGCUGGACCCCAUCUGACGCUGAGGCGCGAAAGCCAGGGGAGAAAACGGG